UACGAAGGGGGCUAGCGUUGCUCGGAAUCACUGGGCGUAAAGGGUGCGUAGGCGGGUCUUUUAAGUCAGAGGUGAAAGCCUGGAGCUCAACUCCAGAACUGCCUUUGAUACUGAGGAUCUCGAGUUCGGGAGAGGUGAGUGGAACUGCGAGUGUAGAGGUGAAAUUCGUAGAUAUUCGCAAGAACACCAGUGGCGAAGGCGGCUCACUGGCCCGAUACUGACGCUGAGGCACGAAAGCGUGGGGAGCAAACAGGG
rnacentral:rRNA from 1 species